UCCCUCCAUGGUGUCUGAAAGCACAUUAGCGAGUCAUAGUCCAUUGAGACAGGCCUAAGCAGUACAUGAGCCCUCAGGUGGGUCCAUGUGCUCGUGGUUCGGUAGUGCAUAGGAAAGUACUAUACAUCCAACCUUGUCGGAACUGGAAAGCUACCUAAGGCAAUGCCAUUAGAACCUAUCAUGUCACAUGUGUAAAGGUUACGCACCAAGGUACGGAUGACGACGCCAUGACGAAAGCCAUGGAACUAGAGGUUAAUAUCGAAAUCGAGAAAAACACAGACAAAUAAAGGUCAAACAAAUGCAAAAAGAAGUAUCACUCGUUGGUUAUGGACCAACAUAUGCACAAAGGGGUCGCAUGCACAAAUAUCAUGUACGACAACAUACGCGCAGAGGCGGUCGGAUGUGCAAAGGUGGUAUGAAUCUCAAAU